UACAGAGGGUGCUAGCGUUGCUCGGAAUCAUUGGGCGUAAAGCGCACGUAGGCGGUUCGUUAUGUCGGAUGUGAAAGCCCUUGGCUUAACCGAGGAAGUGCAUCCGAAACUGGCGAGCUAGAGUACUAAAGAGGAUCGCGGAAUUCCCGGUGUAGAGGUGAAAUUCGUAGAUAUCGGGAGGAACACCAGUGGCGAAGGCGGCGAUCUGGGAAGAUACUGACGCUGAGGUGCGAAAGCGUGGGGAGCAAACAGG
rnacentral:rRNA from 1 species